UUGUGAUUUGUGUGAUAGAUGGUAUGAUCCUAUUUGUGCAGCUCUAACAGAUGAUCAGUGGGCAGACAUAGAAAAUUUUGACUGGUAUUGUGCAGAAUGUCAGGAAUGAACAAGAUUCCAGUAAUGUGGUAACUCCUAGAUAGUAGAAUAUUCAGGUCGGGAGUCCAUGAAGAAACGAACCAAGAAACUGGUUCUUCUGAGGAACUCGAUUGCCUGACUGAGAUCUUCUUGCCCUGCUGGUGACAACGUUGAUGCAUACUGUGUCAUGAGGUUCAGCAUGUCAUCGUUUAAACAAUGAAAUGCAAGUUUGUUUCUCAUUUUUUGGGCCCCAUUCGGAAAAAUAUGUUCAUUUGUUAGUUUAUUGUGAGUUUUGAAGGUGUUAAGUCGAUCCCAG